ensembl:lncRNA
ACAGAAUGCAAAAUGAUGGAAUUGGAAAUAUCAAUCAUCAGUUUCCAUACUCCUAUUGGAGGAAGAUUACAAAGAGGCGCUUUGUGAGAGGAUGCAGCUGCUGAAAUCCGACUAGAUCCAGCUGAAGAGAGAAUGGAGCAGGAAAUAAACCUAUGUGAAACCUACAGUCGGGAAACUAUACGACGAAGUAAUCGUGAUCACAUACCGACAAUAUGAGCGCGACAACUAACUCUGCGAGCUACGACAACUUCAAUGUGUUUUAUUUGGACGUGGCUCGGGUACCCACCAUUUCCCAAGAGGCUUCGUGGUCAUCAACACACUGAUGAGCUCCUAGCAAGGCAGCUCCUAGCAAGAUGGUGAACAGAACGACUGAAGUUGGGGAGAGAAAAUGCAGCACCAUUCAUCUACGUGUUUACCUCUCUGGAGAAGACAAUGGAUGUUACAGUUUUAAGAGCUGUCAGGAAUACUUAUUCUUUACCACCACAGUGCUCUAAGCCUGCUUCUCGAUUUAGAUUUAUUAUAGAAGAGCUCUGCUUCUGAGUUACAUUUCACCCUUUGAUAGGUGGGGUUAGCGACGGGGGUCUGUGGGGUACUGGGUGUUGUAACGUAUAUGGACAAUUAUUUGAAUGUGUGAAACUCGCGUCUCUAAAACUGCAUAAAGCGCUGUGCACUUUGAGUAACUAAAUUUGCACAAGAGGUUGGCUUCUCAUAAAAGUGAAACAAUAAAUGGGGCAAGGGAAUUACAAUAAUAUGUCAAUAUUACAGAACAUUUUAGGCAACAGUAGAUGGCUAUGCAUUACUUCAGUGAUCAUAUUUUUGGAUUAUUAAAUAAGAUUGUGCUCUGUGUUAUCGGGCCAUCUUUAUGUUGUAUUAGAAAGAUCAAUGUUUCCCAAUUUAUUGUGAAAUAAUCAUUUUAGUGACAUAUGAGCAGCAUCCCGGGAAUUUACCUGGUCUAUAGGACCAUAUAAGAUACAUGUAUGUUUUAAAUGAAUCAGAUUAUGUAUGAACUAACCUUGUUGUCUUGAAAGCGUCGGAUGGAUCAGGGUCUUGAUCUGGGCCAAGAAAAGAGCAACUGUAAGACGUCUAUUUGUACAUUGACACAGAUACUGAGAGUAGUAUGGUUAUCAUGCUAGUAUACGCCAGGGAAUGUCAGUAAAGAUGUCAGCUUGUCAGCAGGCCCUCUACUGCAGUGUUGACAAGAACUCUCCGAUUGCAAUUCAGAGAAUGUUAUGAAGUAGGUUUACAAAGGGUUAUCACAGAAUCAGGAAUGACCUAUGAUGUUUAUAAUGAAUCAUGAAUGACCUAUGAUGUAUAUAAUGAUUUUUAGACCUGUAUACAGUCUCUACAUGUAAGCUACAUGUUAAAAAUGUAUAUUAUG